rnacentral:sRNA from 1 species
CUGCCCUGCCCGUAGUAUACCUUGUGCUCGCUGCGCUUGGUAAGCAAAUGCAGGGCAAGAUAU